ACUCUUCCAGCUCCAGCCCAUUAAAUGACCACCGUUCCUCGGAUCCAAACCCUGUGGCUGUGAAAAAGAGCAGUCGAGGAUUUCAUUUCAUUCUGUGUAAAAAAGCUCCCGUCUUCAGUCCUGGAGUAAAGAAAUCAAGUAAAGUUUGUCCUGCUGGCAUGAUGUCUGACCAUCAUCAGUCUACCUCGUCCUCUGGAAAUCUUCAGAAGUCUGAACAGAGAGAAUCAGCCUUUAGGAAAACACGCAAACGUCUGUCCAGGAUCUUCACGGCCAUCCGCAAAGCACUGCCCAACCCCUUCCAGUGCAUGACUCCACCAUCUUAAGCACUUAGCACAGGAGUGCUCAAUCCUGGUCCUGGAGAUCUACCACCCUACAGAGUUUAGCUCCACCUUUAAUCACACCUGAUCCAGAUAAUGAAGACAUUCAGGAGCACCUGAACAUUAGAGGCAGGUGUGCUGGGUCUGAAAUCU